rnacentral:rRNA from 1 species
AUUGAACGCUGGCGGCAGGCCUAACACAUGCAAGUCGAGCGGCAGCGGGAAAGUAGCUUGCUACUUUUGCCGGCGAGCGGCGGACGGGUGAGAAAUGCCAGGGAAAUUGCCCAGUCGAGGGGGAUAACAGUUGGAAACGACUGCUAAUACCGCAUACGCCCUACGGGGGCAAGCCGGGGACGUUCGGGCCGUGCGCGAGUUGAUCUGCCGAGGUGGGAUUAGCUCGUUGGUGAGGUAAUGGCUCACCAAGGCGACGAUCCCUAGCUGGUCUGAGAGGAUGAUCAGCCACACUGGAACUGAGACACGGGCCAGACUCCUACGGGAGGCAGCAGUGGGGAAUAUUGCACAAUGGGGGAAACCCUGAUGCAGCCAUGCCGCGUGUGUGAAGAAGGCCUUCGGGUUGUAAAGCACUUUCAGCGAGGAGGAAAGGUUGAUGCCUAAUACGUAUCAACUGUGACGUUACUCGCAGAAGAAGCACCGGCUAACUCCGUGCCAGCCGCCGCAGUAAAAC